CUAGCGACUUCAGAGUUUGAUCCUGGCUCAGGAUUAACGCUGGCGGCGUGCAUAACACAUUCAAGUCGAACGGAGUAAUGGCUUCGGCUAUUACUUAGUGGCGGACGGGUGAGUAACGCGUGAGCAAUCUACCUUCGGGUGAGGGAUAACAACCGGAAACAGUUGCUAAUACCUCAUGACAUAUACUUAUCGCAUGGUGAGUAUAUCAAAGGCUUGCUGCCCGAAGAUGAGCUUGCGUCUGAUUAGCUAGUUGGUGAGGUAACGGCCCACCAAGGCGACGAUCGGUAGCCGGACUGAGAGGUUGAACGGCCACAUUGGAACUGAGAUACGGUCCAG
rnacentral:rRNA from 1 species